UACGAAGGGGGCUAGCGUUGCUCGGAAUUACUGGGCGUAAAGCGCACGUAGGCGGAUUGUUAAGUCGGGGGUGAAAUCCUGGAGCUCAACUCCAGAACUGCCUUCGAUACUGGCGAUCUUGAGUUCGGGAGAGGUGAGUGGAACUGCGAGUGUAGAGGUGAAAUUCGUAGAUAUUCGCAAGAACACCAGUGGCGAAGGCGGCUCACUGGCCCGAUACUGACGCUGAGGCACGAAAGCGUGGGGAGCAAACAGG
rnacentral:rRNA from 1 species